UUUUUGGAGAGUUUGAUCCUGGCUCAGAACGAACGCUGGCGGCGUGCUUAACACAUGCAAGUCGAACGAGAAGUACAGUAGCAAUACUGUAUUGUAAAGUGGCGCACGGGUGAGUAACACGUGGGUAAUCUGCCCUUGAGUUUGGGAUAACCCCGCGAAAGCGGGGCUAAUACCGAAUAAGA
rnacentral:ncRNA from 1 species